GAACGAACGCUGGCGGCGUGGAUAAGACAUGCAAGUCGAACGAGAACUACGAAUAGCUUGCUAAUUGUAGUUCUAGUGGCGGACGGGUGCGUAACACGUGAGCAACCUGCCCUAAAGUGGGGGAUAGUCCUUCGAAAGGAGGUUUAAUACCGCCCGCAUGUGGUCUUCGGAUCAAAGACGGCUUCGGCUGUCGCUUUGGGAUGGGCUCGCGGCCUAUCAGCUUGUUGGUGAGGUAAUGGCUCACCAAGGCUACGACGGGUACCUGGUCUGAGAGGACGAUCAGGCACACUGGAACUGAGACACGGUCCAGACACCUACGGGUGGCAGCAGUCGAGAAUCAUUCACAAUGGGGGAAACCCUGAUGGUGCAACGCCGCGUGGAGGAUGACGGUCUUCGGAUUGUAAACUCCUGUCAUCUGGGAGUAAGCCUUGUCGGUUAAUACCCGUGGGGUUUGAUAGUAUCUGAAGAGGAAGGGACGGCUAACUUCGUGCCAGCAGCCGCGGUAAUACGAAGGUCCCAAGCGUUGUUCGGAAUCACUGGGCGUAAAGCGCGUGCAGGCGGCGCGGUAAGUCAGAUGUGAAAUCCCGGGGCUCAACCCCGGAACUGCAUCCGAUACUACCGUGCUAGAGGACUGGAGAGGGAUGUGGAAUUCUUGGUGGAGCAGUGAAAUGCGUAGAGAUCAAGAGGAACACCAACGGCGAAGGCAACAUCCUGGACAGAUCCUGACGCUCAGACGCGAAGGCUAGGGUAGCGAACGGGAUUAGAUACCCCGGUAGUCCUAGCAGUAAACGGUGCACGCUUGGUGUGGGAGGACUCGACCCCUUCCGUGCCGGAGCUAACGCGUUAAGCGUGCCGCCUGGGGAGUACGGUCGCAAGAUUAAAACUCAAAGAAAUUGACGGGGACCCGCACAAGCGGUGGAGUAUGUGGCUUAAUUCGAUGCAACGCGAAGAACCUUACCUGGGCUUGACAUGCAUCUCUAAACCGGUGAAAGCCGGGGAGACUUCGGUCACCUUGCACAGGUGCUGCAUGGCCGUCGUCAGCUCGUGUCGUGAGAUGUUUGGUUAAGUCCAGCAACGAGCGCAACCCCUGUGAAUAGUUGCCAGCGCGUAAUGGCGGGGACUCUGUUCAGACUGCCCAGAUCAACUGGGAGGAAGGUGGGGACGACGUCAGGUCAGUAUGGCCCUUACGCCUAGGGCUGCACACGUACUACAAUGCCCAGCACAAUGAGAACCAAGACCGCGAGGUGGAGGAAAUCUAUAAAACUGGGCCCAGUUCGGAUUGGAGGCUGCAACUCGCCUCCAUGAAGUCGGAAUCGCUAGUAAUGCCGUAUCAGCUACGACGGCGUGAAUACGUUCCCGGGUCUUGUACACACCGCCCGUCACAUCAUGGAAGCCGGUCGCACCCGAAGUAUAUGCGCUAACUUAGCAGUAAGAGGCAGUGUUCUAAGGUAAGGCUGGUAACUGGGAUG
rnacentral:rRNA from 1 species